GUGGGUCUAGGACUUUCUGCCUCCACUCUUGCACUUGGAACUGGAAUAGCAGGCAUCUCAACCUCUGUCACAGCAUUCCGCAGCCUCUCUAAUGACUUCUCUGCUAGCAUUACAGAUAUAUCACAAGCUUUAUCUGUCCUCCAAGCCCAGGUUGACUCUUUAGCUGCAGUUGUCCUGCAGAACCGCCAAGGCCUCAAUUUACUCACUGCUGAAAAAGGAGGACUCUGUAUAUUUCUUAAUGAAGAGUGUUGUUUUUACUUAAAUCAAUCUGGCCUGGCAUAUGGUAACAUCAAAAAACUCAAAGACAGAGCUCAAAAACUCACUAAUCAGGCAACUAAUUAUGCUGGACCCACCUGGUCACUCUCUAACUGGGUAUCCUGGCUUGUUCCAAUCAUUAGUCCUGUAAUACCUAUCUUCCUCCAUCUCUUAUUCGGGCCUUUUGUCUUCCGAUUAAUCUCUCAAUUCCUACAAAACUGCAUCCAGGCUAUCACUAAUCACUCUAUAUGACAAGUGCUGCUUUUAACAAGCCCACAAUAUCACCCCUUACCCCAAAAUCUUACUUCAGUCUAAUCUCUCCCACUUUAGGUUCCCA
rnacentral:lncRNA from 10 species